rnacentral:tRNA from 1 species
UUUCUAUUAAUUUAAAUAAAAUGUCAAAUUGCAAAUUUGAUUUUGAAAUAAAUUUUCAUAGGAUU